GACGAACGCUGGCGGCGUGCUUAACACAUGCAAGUCGAACGGUAAGGCCAUGCCUUUGUGGGGUGCUUGAGUGGCGAACGGGUAAUUAACACGUACGUAACCUGUCCUUGACUUUGGGUUCACUUCAGGAAAGUUGGGCCCAUAUCGGAUCGGAGCAUCUGCUCCAUGGUGGGGCUUGGAUUGUGUAGGUGGAUGGGGUUGGACCCGCGGCUUAUCGGGUUGUUGGUGGGGUAUUGGAUUCCCACGGCUUUGACCGGUAGCCGGCCUGAGAGGGGGACCGGCCACAUUGGGACUGCGAUACGGCCCAGACUCCUACUGGGGACAACAGUGGGGAAUAUGGCACAAUGGGCGGAAGCCUAAGGCAGCGACGCCGCGGGCGGGAUGACGGCCUGCGGGUUGUAAACCGCUUUCGCCUAUGACGGAGCGUGAGUGACGGUAAUGUAUAAAGAAGCACCGGCUAACUACGUG
rnacentral:rRNA from 1 species